rnacentral:rRNA from 1 species
GACGAACGCUGGCGGCGUGCUUAACACAUGCAAGUCGAACGGAAAGGCCCUGCUUUUGUGGGGUGCUCGAGUGGCGAACGGGUGAGUAACACGUGAGUAACCUGCCCUUGACUUUGGGAUAACUUCAGGAAACUGGGGCUAAUACCGGAUAGGAGCUCCUGCUGCAUGGUGGGGGUUGGAAAGUUUCGGCGGUUGGGGAUGGACUCGCGGCUUAUCAGCUUGUUGGUGGGGUAGUGGCUUGCCAAGGCUUUGACGGGUAGCCGGCCUGAGAGGGUGACCGGCCACAUUGGGACUGAGAUACGGCCCAGACUCCUACGGGAGGCAGCAGUGGGGAAUAUUGCACAAUGGGCGGAAGCCUGAUGCAGCAACGCCGCGUGCGGGAUGACGGCCUUCGGGUUGUAAACCGCUUUCGCCUGUGACGAAGCGUGAGUGACGGUAAUGGGUAAAGAAGCACCGGCUAACUACGU